rnacentral:rRNA from 1 species
AUUGAACGCUGGCGGAAUGCUUUACACAUGCAAGUCGAGCGGCAGCGCGGCCUUCGGGCUGGCGGCGAGCGGCGAACGGGUGAGUAAUGCAUCGGAACAUGCCCAGUCGUGGGGGAUAACACUUCGAAAGAAGUGCUAAUACCGCAUACGUCCUGAGGGGGAAAGCGGGGGAUCGCAAGACCUCGCGCGAUUGGAGUGGCCGAUGUCAGAUUAGCUAGUUGGUGGGGUAAAGGCCUACCAAGGCGACGAUCUGUAGCUGGUCUGAGAGGAUGAUCAGCCACACUGGGAAUGAGACACGGCCCAGACUCCUACGGGAGGCAGCAGUGGGGAAUUUUGGACAAUGGGGGCAACCCUGAUCCAGCCAUUCCGCGUGAGUGAAGAAGGCCUUCGGGUUGUAAAGCUCUUUCGGCAGGAACGAAACGGUGGGCUCUAACAUAGUCCGCUAAUGACGGUACCUGAAGAAGAAGCACCGGCUAACUACGUG